UGGCGUUUGGCAUACGCAGG
rnacentral:misc_RNA from 1 species